UCGGGAAUUUUGGGCAAUGGGCGAAAGCCUGACCCAGCAACGCCGCGUGAAGGAUGAAGUAUUUCGGUAUGUAAACUUCGAAAGAAUAGGAAGAAUAAAUGACGGUACUAUUUAUAAGGUCCGGCUAACUACGUGCCAGCAGCCGCGGUAAUACGUAGGGACCAAGCGUUGUUCGGAUUUACUGGGCGUAAAGGGCGCGUAGGCGGCAAUUCAAGUCAUCUGUGAAAUCUCCGGGCUUAACUCGGAACGGUCAGAUGAUACUGCUUUGCUAGAGUGCAGAAGGGGCAAUCGGAAUUCUUGGUGUAGCGGUGAAAUGCGUAGAUAUCGGAAGGAACAUCAGUUGCGAAGGCGGCCCUCUGGUCCAGUACUGACACUCAAGUGCGAAAGCGUGGGGAGCAAACAGGAUUAGAUACCCUAGUAGUCCCUGAGCGGGCUGGCAAGGCGCAU
rnacentral:rRNA from 1 species